UACGAAGGGGGCUAGCGUUGUUCGGAAUUACUGGGCGUAAAGCGCACGUAGGCGGAUAUUUAAGUCAGGGGUGAAAUCCCGGGGCUCAACCCCGGAACUGCCUUUGAUACUGGGUAUCUCGAGUCCGAGAGAGGUGAGUGGAAUUCCGAGUGUAGAGGUGAAAUUCGUAGAUAUUCGGAGGAACACCAGUGGCGAAGGCGACUCACUGGCUCGGUACUGACGCUGAGGUGCGAAAGCGUGGGGAGCAAACAG
rnacentral:rRNA from 1 species